UUGAUCCAGGAGAGAUUGGCGGGCAGGAGUCCUGGGACUGAAACAAGGCGUAGGGGGCUAUGGUACAUGGACCGUUGCAUGCUGGACCAGGAGGGAUGGGACAUGCUAGCUUCAGUUACUGAGAACAAGGAGACUAGAGCAUUGAUCCAUCACUGUAGGAUGGGACAUGUGCCUUUUGACAAAAUGUAUCAAUUAUUUCCUGAUGUAAUGAGUUGUGUGGACAAGAGCAAGUUGAAAUGUGAUGCAUGUGAGUUUGCUAAACAUACCAGAAACUCAUAUGUGAGUAAGGGGGCAGGUGCAUAUCUCCUUUUGUGUUGA
rnacentral:rRNA from 1 species